rnacentral:rRNA from 1 species
GAUGAACGCUAGCUACAGGCUUAACACAUGCAAGUCGAGGGGCAGCAUGGUCUUAGCUUGCUAAGGCCGAUGGCGACCGGCGCACGGGUGAGUAACACGUAUCCAACCUGCCGUCUACUCUUGGACAGCCUUCUGAAAGGAAGAUUAAUACAAGAUGGCAUCAUGAGUCCGCAUGUUCACAUGAUUAAAGGUAUUCCGGUAGACGAUGGGGAUGCGUUCCAUUAGAUAGUAGGCGGGGUAACGGCCCACCUAGUCUUCGAUGGAUAGGGGUUCUGAGAGGAAGGUCCCCCACAUUGGAACUGAGACACGGUCCAAACUCCUACGGGAGGCAGCAGUGAGGAAUAUUGGUCAUGGGCGAGAGCCUGAACCAGCCAAGUAGCGUGAAGGAUGACUGCCCUAUGGGUUGUAAACUUCUUUUAUAAAGGAAUAAAGUCGGGUAUGCAUACCCGUUUGCAUGUACUUUAUGAAUAAGGAUCGGCUAACUCCGUGCCAGCAGCCGCGGUAAUACGGAGGAUCCGAGCGUUAUCCGGAUUUAUUGGGUUUAAAGGGAGCGUAGAUGGAUGUUUAAGUCAGUUGUGAAAGUUUGCGGCUCAACCGUAAAAUUGCAGUUGAUACUGGAUAUCUUGAGUGUAGUUGAGGCAGGCGGAAUUCGUGGUGUAGCGGUGAAAUGCUUAGAUAUCACGAAGAACUCCGAUUGCGAAGGCAGCCUGCUAAGCUGCAACUGACAUUGAGGCUCGAAAGUGUGGGUAUCAAACAGG